rnacentral:tRNA from 1 species
GGGGAUGUAGCUCAAUGGUAGAGCGCGCGCUUCGCAUGCGUGAGGUCCCGGGUUCAAUCCCCGGCAUCUCCA